AAUCGCUAGUAAUCGCGGAUCAGAAUGCCGCGGUGAAUACGUUCCCGGGCCUUGUACACACCGCCCGUCACACCAUGGGAGUCAGUAACGCCCGAAGUCAGUGACCCAACCUGAAAGGGAGGGAGCUGCCGAAGGCGGGACGGAUAACUGGGGUGAAGUCGUAACAAGGUAUC
rnacentral:rRNA from 1 species